UUCAUUUACCGCCCUAUCAUUUUAUUAUUUAAUCCCAUUGAUUUCGCGAAUUACUAACAUUGUAAUUGUCAUCUAACAGUUUACAUUUCAUCAGUUUGCUCAGAUAUCAUAUAGUCUUUUAUUCUAACUCUACUAUUUGUGUUUCAAGUAAUUUGUGUGAUUAAUCUGCAAUAAAAUUAUGGGACGUUUAGCUGUUGUUACUGGAUCCAAUAAAGGAAUUGGAUUUGCCAUCGUCGAAGCGCUUUGCAAAAAAUUUGAUGGAACUGUUAUGUUAUGUUCAAGAGAUUUGGAACGAGGACAAAAAGCGGUUGACGUUCUUAAACAAAAAGGUUUAAAUCCUGUUCUACAUCAACUGGAAAUAUCUGACCAAAACAGCAUCAAUAAAUUGGCUGAGACGAUCAAGAAUGAAUAUCAAGGUUUGGACAUUCUUGUCAAUAAUGCAGCUAUAGCUUAUAAACACGAUGCAACAGAGCCUUUCGUUAAACAAGCUGAGGACACUAUAAAUGUCAACUUUUUUGCCAAUCUCGAUGUUUGUAAGACAUUAUUUCCUCUAUUAAGACCUCAUGCUAGAGUUGUCAAUCUUUCAAGCUCUCUUGGUAUGUUGAAGCAAGUAUCUAGUCCAGAGAUACGAACGAAACUCUCCAAUCCUAAUUUGACUGAGGAUCAAUUGAUUUCGAUUGUUAAGGAAUAUUUAGCUGAUGUUAAAGCGGGUGUUCACUUAGACAAAGGUUGGCCUCAAACAGCAUACUCUACCUCUAAAGUUUUCGUGUCUGCUUUGACUUUCAUUCAACAACGAGAGUUCAACAAAGACACCAGGGAAGAUAUCGUCAUCAAUGCUGUGCAUCCAGGAUAUGUCGAUACUGACAUGACAAGUCACAAGGGACCAUUGACUAUAGAGGAAGGAGCUUCAGCGCCUGUUUACUGUGCGUUACUGCCACCUAAUAGCACGAAACCUAAAGGUGAUAUGGUUUGGUGCAACUCGAAGAUAGUUGAUUGGCAAUCAUUGGAAUCAGUGGAAUAAAAUAAUCACAAUUAUGUGUUGGAUCACUACAUCAGAGAUAUUAAACAAAAAAGAAAACAAAAACUUUCCUUUAAAAAUUGGUAUAACUUCGUAAUAAUGUAAUAACUCUAUAACAUUUAUUUCAUAUUAAUAAUAAAGUUACUCUCAUGAA